AGAGUUUGAUCCUGGCUCAGGACGAACGCUGGCGGCGUGCUUAACACAUGCAAGUCGAACGGACCUUUUUUGGAAGAAGCCUUCGGGUGGAAAUUAGGAAAGGUUAGUGGCGGACGGGUGAGUAACGCGUAGAUAAUCUACCUUAAAGACUGGGACAACAGUUGGAAACGACUGCUAAUACCGGAUACGCUGCACAUAGGGCAUCCUAGGUGCAGGAAAAGAGGCCUCUUAACAAUGCUCCUGCUUUUAGAUGAGUCUGCGUCUGAUUAGCUAGAUGGUGGGGUAACGGCUUACCAUGGCGACGAUCAGUAGUCGGCCUGAGAGGGUGACCGGCCACAUUGGGACUGAGACACGGCCCAAACUCCUACGGGAGGCAGCAGUGGGGAAUCUUCCGCAAUGGGCGAAAGCCUGACGGAGCAACGCCGCGUGAUCGAAUGAAGGCCUUCGGGUUGUAAAGAUCUGUUGACAGGGACGAAUAAGCAAUGCGAAUAGUUUUGUGUAUGACGGUACCUGUUUAGAAAGCUCCGGCUAACUACGUGCCAGCAGCCGCGGUAAUACGUAGGGAGCAAGCGUUGUCCGGAAUUACUGGGCGUAAAGGGCGCGUAGGUGGGCGCUUAAGUCAGGUGUGAAAACUCCGGGCUCAACCUGGAGACUGCACUUGAAACUGGGUGUCUUGAGGGCAGGAGAGGAAAGUGGAAUUCCUAGUGUAGCGGUGAAAUGCGUAGAUAUUAGGAGGAACACCAGUGGCGAAGGCGACUUUCUGGACUGUACCUGACGCUGAGGCGCGAAAGCGUGGGUAGCGAACGGGAUUAGAUACCCCGGUAGUCCACGCCGUAAACGAUGAAUACUAGGUGUAGGAGGUAUCGACUCCUUCUGUGCCGCAGCAAACGCAAUAAGUAUUCCGCCUGGGGACUACGGUCGCAAGACUAAAACUCAAAGAAAUUGACGGGGACCCGCACAAGCGGUGGAGCAUGUGGUUUAAUUCGACGCAACGCGAAGAACCUUACCAGGGCUUGACAUCCCUCGCUACCUGCGGAAACGUGGGGUUCUGCCAGUUUACUGGCGGACGAGGAGACAGGUGGUGCAUGGUUGUCGUCAGCUCGUGUCGUGAGAUGUUGGGUUAAGUCCCGCAACGAGCGCAACCCCUACGUCCAGUUGCCAGCACGUUAAGGUGGGAACUCUGGAGGAACUGCCGGUGACAAACCGGAGGAAGGUGGGGAUGACGUCAAAUCAUCAUGCCCUUUAUGUUCUGGGCUACACACGUGCUACAAUGGCCGGUACAGAGGGCGGCGAAGCCGCGAGGUGGAGCGAAUCCCAAAAAGCCGGUCUAAGUUCGGAUUGCAGGCUGCAACCCGCCUGCAUGAAGUCGGAAUCGCUAGUAAUCGCGAGUCAGCAUAUCGCGGUGAAUACGUUCCCGGGUCUUGUACACACCGCCCGUCACACCAUGGGAGUUGGCAACACCCGAAGCCGAUGAGCUAACCCGCAAGGGAGGCAGUUGUCUAAGGUGGGGUUGAUAACUGGGGUGAAGUCGUAACAAGGUAACCAA
rnacentral:rRNA from 2 species